rnacentral:misc_RNA from 1 species
UCCGUCAAUUCAUUUGAGUUUCACCGUUGCCGGCGUACUCCCCAGGUGGAAUACUUAACGCUUUCGCUGUGCCACUCAAGGCUCAUUUGCCCCGAACAGCUAGUAUUCAUCGUUUACUGCGUGGACUACCAGGGUAUCUAAUCCUGUUCGAUACCCACGCUUUCGUGCUUCAGCGUCAGUUGGGCGCCGGUAUGCUGCCUUCGCAAUCGGAGUUCUGCGUGAUAUCUAUGCAUUUCACCGCUACACCACGCAUUCCGCAUACUUCUCGCCCACUCAAGAACGCCAGUUUCAACGGCGGAGCGAGGUUGAGCCCCGCGAUUUUACCGCUGACUUGGCAUUCCGCCUACGCACCCUUUAAACCCAAUAAAUCCGGAUAACGCUCGCAUCCUCCGUAUUACCG